GUCUGCGCCGUGGCCGCCGCCGCCGCCGCUGCCUGUCGCCGAGCCUGGCAUCUCCGAGCCCCCGCGCGGGGGGCUGCCGCCCAGCGCUGAUUGACAGCCCGCCUCGCCAAUGCCUGGAGGGAGAAAGGAGGUGUCUUUGUGGGCACCGAGGGAUAUAAUGGUGAGACGUACCAGGGUCCAUUGACGGAAUAAGGAGAAGAUAAUAAAUUAGUUGCCAACUUGCAAAUUUUUGAGAGCCGCAAUUACUGAGAAAGGAUUUGUCUGACAGCAGAGAGACAGUUUUCAAAUCAGCAGCUGUGUGAUCCUUUUAAAAUAGAAUUGUGCUUCUCUUGGGUGGGUGUGGUGAUAUAUGCCUAUGAUCCCAGCAUUUGGGAGGCAGAAGCAGACAGACCUCUGUGAGUUCAAGGCCAAUCUAGUGUACAUCAUGAUAUCUAGGACAGUCAUAGGGCUACAUAGUAACACCCUGUAGAGACCGUGUCUUAAAACAAAACAAAACAAAACAAAACAAAACAAAAACAACCACACACACACACACACACACACACACACACACACACGCAAUCAGCUUCCAGUCUCCCCUUCAUUGUCUUUCUCCUCUGUCGCUACACUUUGCCUCUUAGAGCACAUUCCUCUCUCCACUGCAGCCUCACUGGUCUUUUUGAGCAGGUCAAAGGUAUUUUAGCUGGCAUGUUUUUCCCUGGAGUGUAUACACAGUUCUUUUCCAUAUCUCUUGUACGUUUUCCUGUGGUGUCCCUGUUUCAGUGAGGCCUUCACUAAGCUCCCUGCUUACAACUGUAACCCUGGCCCUUUCUUGUCUCACACACACACACACACACACACACACACACACACACACACACACCUCUAGCACUGUCACUGUCUGUCAUACUAUGAAGUGCCAUUGUGGUGAGAUUAUAACUCCCUCACAGGAAGGGAGGUCUGCUGAGUCAGCAGGUAGACUAGUGCCUAGCACACGACGGAGCCCCAGUGAACCUGCUGGGUGAGGAAUGGCUUGAAGAGCUGUGGAAGCAGCUGGAGGAAGUGCUAAGAUUACCUAGACGGAGAGGCAGCAGUCAUGCUAGAGGGACGAGAGAACACUUCAGUGUUUCAGUGUUUCAGGAAGCACAUAUUAAUUGCAGCCAGCUCCGAGCAGAGGAAAGGUUCAACCUUCAUUCUCUCUUCCAAAUGAAGUCCGUGAUAGUUUUCUUUCCUUUCUGUAAAGGACGCUCUGUUGAGCCUGUUUGGAAAAGUGAUGUCCUUUUAAAGAAUAUAUAAAGGCAGUCAUUUU
ensembl:antisense Gm26756 predicted gene, 26756